rnacentral:ncRNA from 1 species
UAGAUAAGUUGAUGAAUAUAAAUCAUAGGCUGGGUGUCUGAGAAGUUAAUUAUUGUGUUAUCUUGUUUAAUUUAAUUUGGCUUUGGUUAUAAUAUAAGCUAUAUACUAAAUUUAUAUAUGCUAGGUUUGAAAUAGAAUCGUUUUGUUUAAAUAUGUUGUUAUUUAUUUAAAUUUAAUAUUUUUUAAGUGACGAUUUAUGUUGUUAAUAUUUUAUUAGGAUGGUGAGAAUAAGCUACGCAGUAUUUAUAUUUAUACAAUGAAUGAGAGUUUGAUAUAGUUAGUGUUAAUAAAAGGUGGUUAAAUUGGUGCCAGCAGCUGCGGUUAUACCAAUACCUUGAGUUUAUAUUUAUAUAGUAUAAAAUAAAGUAAUGUUUAUAUUAAGGUUAAUUAGGAUUAAUGAGGAUAACAAAAGUAGGUAAAAUUUAAUUGUUGUUAUUAAUUAUAUAGUCCUAUUAAGAAAUUCUUUGAAAAUAAGGUUUAAGAAAACUAGGAUUAGAGACCCUAUUAUUCUUUAUUUUAAAAAUUUUGUUACUUAAGUAGUAUAAAUGUGAAUAUAAAUAUAUAAUUCUUUCAUUGUUUGAAACUUAAAAGGCUUGGCGGUGUUAUAUAUCCUACCAGGGGAGCUUGCUUAUUAAUUUGAUAAUCCCCAAUUUAUACUUACUUUUUUUUGAAUUAUAACAGUUUGUGUAUUGCUGUCGUCAGUUUAUUUUGUAAAAAUUUAGGAAAAAACUAAAUAAUUUUAUGGUUGUGAUGUCAAGUCAAAAUGCAGUUUAUGAAAAAGGUUUUAAAGUGAGCUACAAUUUAUGUUUUUUAAUCGGAUUAGAAAGUGUAAUUUUUUUAUGAAGUUGGACUUGGUAGUAAUAAGACUUUAAAUAGUGAGUUCUUAUGAAUUGGGUUUUAUAAUGCGUACAUAUCGCCCGUCGCUCUUGUUGGAAAAUAAGAUAAGUCGUAACAUAGUAGGGGUAGUGGAAGCUGUUCCUGGAUUGAUAA